GAUGAACGCUAGCGGCAGGCCUAACACAUGCAAGUCGAGCGGUAGAAGGAGCUUGCUCCUUUGAGACCGGCGCACGGGUGCGUAACGCGUAUGCAAUCUACCCUUUACAGGGGAAUAGCCCAGAGAAAUUUGGAUUAAUGCCCCAUAGUAUAUAACCUUCGCAUGUUGGUUAUCUUAAAGUUCCAACGGUACAAGAUGAGCAUGCGUCACAUUAGUUAGUUGGUAAGGUAACGGCUUACCAAGACGAUAAUGGGGAGGGGUCCUGAGAGGGAGCUCCCCCAAACUGGUACUGCGAUACGGACCAGACUCCUACGGGAGGCAGCAGUAAGGAAUAUUGGUCAAUGGUCGCAAGACUGACCCAGCCAUGCCGCGUGCAGGAAGACGGUGAUAUGGAUAGUAGACUGCUUGUAAACAGGAUGAAACCCUCCAACGGGGGGGAGCUUGACGGUACUGGAGGAAUAAGGAUCGGCUAACUCCGUG
rnacentral:rRNA from 1 species